rnacentral:rRNA from 1 species
AGAGUUUGAUCAUGGCUCAGGACGAACGCUGGCGGCAUGCCUAACACAUGCAAGUCGAACGAGAAAGUUCCUUCGGGAGCAAUUAAAGUGGCGCACGGGUGAGUAACGCGUAGACAAUCUGCCCUUCAGUCUGGGACAACUUUUCGAAAGGAGAGCUAAUACCGGAUAACAAUGCAUGACACAAGUUGUAUAUUUGAAAGCUUUAUGUGCUGAAGGAGGGGUCUGCGUCCCAUUAGCUAGUUGGUAAGGUAAAGGCUUACCAAGGCAACGAUGGGUAGCGGGUUUGAGAGGACGAUCCGCCACACUGGAACUGAGACACGGUCCAGACUCCUACGGGAGGCAGCAGUGGGGAAUAUUGCACAAUGGAGGAAACUCUGAUGCAGCAAUGUCGCGUGAGUGAAGAAGGCCCUUGGGUCGUAAAGCUCUUUUAUGGGGGAAGAUGAUGACGGUACCCCAAGAAUAAGCACCGGCUAACUAUGUGCCAGCAGCCGCGGUAAUACAUAGGGUGCGAGCGUUGUUCGGAAUUACUGGGCGUAAAGGGCGCGCAGGCGGAAUAGUAAGUCGGAGGUGAAAGCCCGGGGCUCAACCCCGGAGGGUCUUUCGAAACUACUAAUCUAGAGAGGGUCAGGGGCCGGCAGAAUUCCUGGUGUAGAGGUGAAAUUCGUAGAUAUCAGGAGGAAUA